GGUUGGGUAGCUCAGUUGGUAGAGCGUUCGACUGUUAAUCGAAAGGCCCGGGGAUCAAAACCCUGCCUGACCG
rfam:Thecamonas trahens ATCC 50062 unplaced genomic scaffold supercont1.52, whole genome shotgun sequence.